AUUGAACGCUGGCGGCAGGCCUAACACAUGCAAGUCGAGCGGUAGCACAGAGAGCUUGCUCUCGGGUGACGAGCAGCGGACGGGUGAGUAAUGUCUGGUAAACUGCCUGAGGGAGGGGGAUAACUACUGGAAACGGUAGCUAAUACCGCAUAACGUCGCAAGACCAAAGUGGGGUACCUUCGGGCCCCACGCAAUCCGAUGUGCCACGAGGGGAUUAGCUAGUAGGUGGGGUAACGGCUCACCUAGGCGACGAUCCCUAGCUGGUCUGAGAGGAUGACCAGCCACACUGGAACUGAGACACGGUCCAGACUCCUACGGGAGGCAACAGUGGGGAAUAUUGCACAAUGGGCGCAAGCCUGAUGCAGCCAUGCCGCGUGUGUGAAGAAGGCCUUCGGGUUGUAAAGCACUUUCAGCGGGGAGGAAGGCGGUGAGGUUAAUAACCUCAUCGAUUGACGUUACCCGCAGAAGAAGCACCGGCUAACUCCGUGCCAGCAGCCGCGGUAA
rnacentral:rRNA from 1 species